GGGAGGCAGCAGUGAGGAAUAUUGGUCAAUGGACGAGAGUCUGAACCAGCCAAGUAGCGUGAGGGAUGACGGCUCUAUGGGUUGUAAACUUCUUUUAUAAGGGAAUAAAAUAAGGGACGUGUCCUUUUUUGUAUGUACCUUAUGAAUAAGCAUCGGCUAACUCCGUGCCAGCAGCCGCGGUAAUACGGAGGAUCCAAGCGUUAUCCGGAUUUAUUGGGUUUAAAGGGAGCGUAGGCGGAUUUAUAAGUCAGUGGUGAAAGUUUACGGCUCAACCGUAAAAUUGCCGUUGAUACUGUAUGUCUUGAGUGUGGGAGAGGUGGGCGGAAUUCGUGGUGUAGCGGUGAAAUGCUUAGAUAUCACGAAGAACUCCGAUUGCGAAGGCAGCUCACUGGGCUACAACUGACACUGAGGCACGA
rnacentral:rRNA from 1 species